UAUAAAAUACCUACACCAAAGGAGUACUUGGUAGACUAGAUGAUAAAACCAUUAAAUAUAUCAAGUUACAAGUUGUCUGAUUAUAUCUGGAAAAGUAUCUGCCAGAACUAACAACAGCACCUUUCUCAUUAUAUAUAUUCUAAAUCAUAACAAAUAAGUAUACAAAACAUACGGCUUUUCCAGGUUGAGUAGCUCGUGCUGCUAGAAACGCUGCUAUACUGUCUGUGGUUCCUGUACAAAUUAGGCAAUCCUUUGGAUAACCAAACUGAGUUCUUAUGUCCUCUUUCAUACACCCAAUUUUAGUACCAGGAUCGUGUACAGAAGGUAAAAGAUGAGAAUAUGGCUGAGAUAGAAGCCAAGGCGGAUAGGAAUCCAUUUCCGGAUCAUAGCCAACCUUCAGAGCAUUAUUAUAGUCAGACACGCCCAGCUUGCCAUGGAGUAGCCACAAUAACCAAUCUGCUUGAUGUAGCAAUACAGCAGAUUCCUUGCUAGAAGGAUAAGAGUUCCACCAUGAGACAAGCUUGCAAAGUGUAGAAGAUCCAGAGCAGACUGUAUGUUUUGCAGGAGCAAUAGACUUCACCAAAGGCAAGGAAUCAGGACAGCUCUCAUUAUACAGGAAUGCUCUUGAUAAUGGCUCUUCGCUCCUACUAUCGAUGAUGAUAGUUGUUGCAGAGGUCCCAUCGAUGGCAAUGGACGCAACAACUUUUCGGAGACUGACCGGGACAUCAUCAAGGAGUAAAAAGAGUGUGUCUUUCCAUGAUUGUAUCCAGUCCAUUUUUUCCUCUUUCAUAUAAAGUGGGUACUCUCUUUUUCCUUCAGCAUGAAUAUUACCAUCACCAUCAAUAAGAGAAUAUCGAGCUCCAGAUGUUCCAAAAUCCAUACCAAGAUAAAGCUUCUUGCCAAUUUCAAAAUCAUUUGUAAAAAUGGGAUUUCUUCCUUUGCCAGAUACACCACACUCUAACAUUCUUGAGCUUAAUUUUCUCCAACUCCUAAAAUCCACACAUGA
rnacentral:misc_RNA from 1 species